rnacentral:rRNA from 1 species
UACGAAGGGGGCUAGCGUUGUUCGGAAUUACUGGGCGUAAAGGGCGCGUAGGCGGUGUGUCAAGUCAGGCGUGAAAGCCCCGGGCUCAACCUGGGAACAGCGCUUGAGACUGGCACGCUCGAGUUCGGGAGAGGAUGGUGGAAUUCCCAGUGUAGAGGUGAAAUUCGUAGAUAUCAGGAGGAACACCGGUGGCGAAAGCGGCUCCCUGGCCCGAUACUGACGCUCAUGUACGAAAGCGUGGGGAGCAAACAGG